rnacentral:rRNA from 1 species
GAUGAACGCUGGCGGCGUGCCUAAUACAUGCAAGUCGAGCGAAUGGAUUAAGAGCUUGCUCUUAUGAAGUUAGCGGCGGACGGGUGAGUAACACGUGGGUAACCUGCCCAUAAGACUGGGAUAACUCCGGGAAACCGGGGCUAAUACCGGAUAACAUUUUGAACCGCAUGGUUCGAAAUUGAAAGGCGGCUUCGGCUGUCACUUAUGGAUGGACCCGCGUCGCAUUAGCUAGUUGGUGAGGUAACGGCACACCAAGGCAACGAUGCGUAGCCGACAUGAGAGGGUGAUCGGCAACACGUGGACUGAGACACGGCCCAGACUCCUACGGGAGGCAGCAGUAGGGAAUCUUCCGCAAUGGACGAAAGUCUGACGGAGCAACGCCGCGUGAGUGAUGAAGGCUUUCGGGUCGUAAAACUCUGUUGUUAGGGAAGAACAAGUGCUAGUUGAAUAAGCUGGCACCUUGACGGUACCUAACCAGAAAGCCACGGCUAACUACGUGCCAGCCGCCGCAGUAA